AAACAUGUCUACAUGGGUAUAAUAUUAAAUGUAGUCCAGCCUGCCCACUGAAUAUAAAUUUUAAAGGGCCGCGGUACACUGACCGUGCUAAGGUAGCAUAAUCAAUAGUCUUUUAAUUGGAGACUGGAAUGAACGGCUAGAUAAAAAGUUUACUGUCUAUAUAAUAAAUCUUGAAUUUUACUUUUAAGUGAAAAGGCUUAAAUAUAUUAAAGUGACGAUAAGACCCUAUAAAACUUUAUAAUAAAUUAUGAUUAUCUUAAAUUUUAAAUCAAAAUAUAUUUCAUAUAUUACUAUUUAGUUGGGGCGACUGAGAUAUAAAAAAUCUGUCUUUAGUAAAAAAUACUUAUAAUUAGAUCAAGAUCCUUUAUUAAGGAUUAAAAGGCUAAGUUACUUUAGGGAUAACAGCGUGAUUUUUCUUAAGAGUUCUUAUCGACAGAAUAAGUUGCGACC
rnacentral:rRNA from 1 species